AACGAACGCUGGCGGCAGGCUUAACACAUGCAAGUCGAACGACCCGUUCGGGGCGUGGCAGACGGGUGAGUAUAGCGUGGGAAACUCCCCCUCCCUACGGGAUAUCGCUUGCCAACAUGUGCUAAUAUCCUAUACGCUCUCCUGGGGAAAGAUUUAUCGGGGAUGGAUGAGCCCGCGUUGGAUUAGCUAGUUGGUGGGGUAAAGGCCUACCAAGGCGACGAUCCAUAGCUGGUCUGAGAGGAUGAUCAGCCACAUUGGGACUGAGACACGGCCCAAACUCCUACGGGAGGCAGCAGUGGGGAAUAUUGGACAAUGGGCGCAAGCCUGAUCCAGCCAUGCCGCGUGAGUGAUGAAGGCCUUAGGGUUGUAAAGCUCUUUCACCGGAGAAGAUAAUGACGGUACCCGGAGAAUAAGCCCCGGCUAACUUCGUG
rnacentral:rRNA from 1 species